UUGCGCAUAUUUGUGGAGCAAAAAGGGCAAAUACUCUCCAUUCCACAUAGUCUGAUAACUUUUUUAGAUGGCUUCUGUUGUGGACAUUUAUUUUUAAUUUUUCUUCCCUUCAACCGUCAUCCAUUCUAUAAUAACAUGACUCAGUCCGUGCAGCUCAAGUAGGGCCAACAUGCCAACGAUUGCCCUCCCGAUGACACAUGGCAGGGGCUUUGCGUCAGCCUAGCUGAUAGAAUUCUCCAACUCCUUGGCCACACUGAUGGAUUAAGAGGUGAGUAUAUGACUCAGUCAAACCAAUUAGUCUUCCUAGUAUUUUGCCACAGUUCUUAAGAAAUAUAAUUAUUUGGGGCUGCCAGCAGACAUCUUAUCUAUUCAUAGAGAGAAAAACUACCUGAGUAUUAAGCCAAGCAGAGGCAUGCAAAGAAGCAAGAGAUGAUAAACAUUAUUUGAAGUGCUGGAUCCAACUAUUCCUGAAGCUGAAAGUUGCUCAUGAACUUCCCAGGUACUUGAACAAAUUAGUAUUCUUUUAAAAAUGUUAUGAGUUAGGCUUCUGUCACCUGCAACUGAAACAUUCCUGAUUAAUAUAGCUUCUUUCUCCUCUUCUCUCUCUUUUCAGUAUUAUUAUGGAUGCGAUUAGAUGGACUUUGGUCUCCUCUCUUAUCAGGAGCCCCUGUCCCUGGAAGAACUAGCAGCAGCUAAAAUAGCACCCAAGGUAGGGCCUGGGUCUUUGAAAAGAGAUAAAGGACCAAUUUUCAGAACUUGG
rnacentral:lncRNA from 1 species